rnacentral:rRNA from 1 species
GAUGAACGCUAGCUACAGGCUUAACACAUGCAAGUCGAGGGGCAGCAUGAACUUAGCUUGCUGAGUUUGAUGGCGACCGGCGCACGGGUGAGUAACACGUAUCCAACCUGCCGAUGACUCGGGGAUAGCCUUUCGAAAGAAAGAUUAAUACCCGAUGGCAUAAUUCUUCCGCAUGGUAGAACUAUUAAAGAAUUUCGGUCAUCGAUGGGGAUGCGUUCCAUUAGGUUGUUGGCGGGGUAACGGCCCACCAAGCCUUCGAUGGAUAGGGGUUCUGAGAGGAAGGUCCCCCACAUUGGAACUGAGACACGGUCCAAACUCCUACGGGAGGCAGCAGUGAGGAAUAUUGGUCAAUGGGCGGAAGCCUGAACCAGCCAUGCCGCGUGAAGGACUAAGGCCCUACGGGUCGUAAACUUCUUUAGACGCAGAGCAAUAAGGUCCACGCGUGGACCGAUGAGAGUAUGCGUAGAAUAAGCAUCGGCGUAACUCCGUGCCAGCA